rnacentral:rRNA from 1 species
AGUGAACGCUGGCGGCAGGCCUAACACAUGCAAGUCGAACGGCAGCACGGCAGUAGCAAUACUGUGGGUGGCGAGUGGCGGACGGGUGAGGAAUACAUCGGGAUCUACCCUGUUGUGGGGGAUAACGUAGGGAAACUUACGCUAAUACCGCAUAAGAACUGAGGUUGAAAGCGGCGGACCGCAAGGCGUCGCGCGAUUGGAUGAACCGAUGUCCGAUUAGCUAGUUGGCGGGGUAAAGGCCCACCAAGGCGACGAUCGGUAGCUGGUCUGAGAGGACGACCAGCCACACUGGAACUGAGACACGGUCCAGACUCCUACGGGAGGCAGCAGGUGGGGAAUAUUGGACAAGUGGGCGAAAGCCUGAUGCAGCGACGCCGCGUGAGCGAAGAAGGCCUUCGGGUUGUAAAGCUCUGUCUGGAGGGACGAACAAAAUGACGGUACCUCCGGAGGAAGCCACGGCUAACUACGUG